UCUCUCUCCAAGGGCCCCACAUCCACCUAUUCAGACUUUUCUCUUCCUCACUCCACACUCUCCCUUCUCACUCACGAUUCUCUCCCUCUUUCUCCCACAAAAGAAAAAUAUCUCUCUUUCUUUUAUUAUUCUGAUUUCUUUCUCUCAAAAACAAAAGCUGCAGAACACUUUCUCUGAAGCUUGUCUGCAACUUCUCUUCUUCCUCCUCACCAUUUUCUUCUUCCCAACAUGUCUGGAACAACAACACCACCACGAGCCAAAACCGCGAGCACCACCACCUCUAUGCCUCCUUCACGCAGCAACCACCACUGUCCAUGUUCUGUUUUUCCUCUCCAUGAGAGCCACCACCAAAACCCUAGCCGCCACCUUUUUCCUCCGAUCUCCGGCGAACCAUUAAGUUUUUGGAGAAACCAACGCCACCACUGAACUCCUCUCAUCAACCGCAACAAAACCCCUUCAUCGAUUCGAUGAUCGGCCACCGUGACUCCGGCGACCGCCGCCGCCGCCGUCUUCUCCGGCGAGCUUUGUUCUGAGAAAGGAGGCCAAUUUCUUGAAGCUAUCAACCUCCUCUUCCUGAAUCCAAGGCUCAAUCAUCAUUAAUAGUUUCAAUGGCCACUGGAGGAAGGGGAGAGCACGACUAGACCAGACCAGAGGAAGAAGUGAAGCUCAGUCCCAGGACCAUGAGACUUGAGGUAGAAGGAGAAAGAUUUGAACACUGUGUUUAGAAAUUAUAUGUUAAUAGAAAAAAAAAAUAUAGUGGUAGUAUUUUGGGCUUAUCCUUGUAUUAAUUAGUUAUGAUGGAAAAUGAUAUUGUUGGUGUCUAUAUUGGUAUUGUUAUUCUAAAAAUAAAACCAUACGUUAAAGUUGAAGUAAAUGUUUUGAAGGUUACACUUAGGUUAUUUUGGCUGAUGAGAUCAAUGGAGUUAUAUUGAAAAUAAAUAAUUAAAAAUUUCAAUCCUUUGUGUAAUUUUGCCAUGAUUCAUGGUUAUUUAGGGCUGUCCCUUGUUAAAUAGAAUUUGGAUUUUUCACUGGACUUUUUCUGUCAAAAUGGUCUCUCACGUAAGCCUUGUAGUUUGUUGGACCAUCCUCCCCAAUUUUGAUGUAUUUCAACUCCAAUUUCGUUAGCCAUUAUUUCUAGUUACCUAAUAUGCUAAUGUACAAUGACUAAUACUCCUUUUUGGGGUCAUCUAGUUUUAACUUAAAAUAUCAUUCUCUUUUAACAAAUAAUGGCCUUGCCUAGACACUAGACAGUUUGAUAUAGCUCUUGUGAAAAUACAACAAUUGAUGAAUGUAGCAAAAAUACAUUAAAAUAAGAAUAGUUCUUUGCAACUUUUAGUUCACGUUUUCAUUACUCUUGGUUUUGAUUGAAGACCUCAGUUUUAAAAGUCAAGCAAUUAGAAUCACUUAAGUUUUUGACAAUAAUUUUCUAUUGUGAUUCCCACACUUAAGAUUAUAAAUUUUCUUUAUUUCUAGUGAGCUAUUUUGUAUCACGAAAAUUGGGACAGCUAUACCUUUAAAGUUGAGUUUGGAAAUGCUUUUGCCUAAAGUGAGUUUGAAUUUGGGACUAGCUUCUCCUAGAUUAUUAUUUCUACGCCUUUAUCACCUACAUGAAGUUUCCUUACAUGAAGUUUCCUUCCAAUUUUAAUGAUAACCAUUUUAAUUGCUCUAGUUGUAUAAUCCUUUGGGGAUUCAAUGUUUAAAUAAUUAUAAAUAAAAGUUUAUCCUCUUGUUAAUUAAAUGAUGUAGGUGACUAUAUGUCUAGUAUUUCUCGUGGCACCAAAAUAGAAUUUCAAAGAAAGGUAUUAUUCUAUGUGUGUGUGUGAUUGUAUAAAAUAAAGGAAAAGAUUUAUUGUGAGAUGCUAUGUAAUUAAUUAAAUUGAAAGAGACUCAUUUGUAUGAUAUUGUGAAAAGACCUCAAUGAGUAUCCUAAUAGAGACUGAGAACUCUAAGGAAAACUAGAGGAGUAAAUACUAGUUAUGUAUACUUUUCUAUUUUAAAGAUAUCAGUAUUUGGUUUUAAAGUCGACUUACUAAGUCAAAAGUUUUUUGAAGUAUUGAAUAUUGUUACUAUUUUGUUGUUAUUACAACGACUUGUCUGAAUUUCUGAGUUUUAUCCUAAUGGGUUAUAGCCAUUAUGGGGAUUAGGUUUAACAUACGUUCGCUUCGAGUCAAAUGCCUGAAGUCAUAGUUUAGACUUUAAGUCAGUAUGUUAACUCGAAUAGUAAUUACGUUAUGGGUACUCAUGAAGGGUACGAAUGACGGGUGCGCAUGACGACGAAGCUAAAGAAUAAAAGGGAGCGAACCGACACGGGAAAGCAAAGAUGUGUUGGGAUUGAAAUUGCAGUUAGUAUGAGAAUUGGCUAAGAUGUCUUUGGCGGGCUGGUUCACGACGGUUCACCCUUCGGGGGGAACUAGGGUUGAAAUGCUGGAACAAGAGCGCAUCGCGGUCGCGAGAGGAGGACGGAUGGUGUACAUAGACUAGGUCGUUCUGGAUUCAGAUUUGGACGACGAUCAUGCUAGCAUGUAGGUUUUAGUGCUGGUGUGAGCUCCUCGAGAUGAGAUUAGUGUAGGAGUAGAGUCUUAGCUCUGAACAUCAUUUGUUUUUCUUUGGGAACAGGGUAGCUUCCCGCCGAUAGCUUUUUGUGUGGUUUCCUUACGGGAAUCACAGAGAGUUGGUUGGACUUAGGAGGUCUUGUUUCAGGCCGAUGGGCAAGCUUAUUCUCAAUUUUUGAAGGUGUGAGUUGCGAAUACUCAACCUUUCCUUGUGGUUUGUACAUAUUGCCUACGGGCGCUACUCUUCUACUACCGUCACUGGAGGUUUACUCGUGACGAGGUUGCUACUUACAGCGGGGGCUGUUUAUAUAUUGUAUAUUAGUUCUAUUGCCUUUCGCAUUUGGGUUUUAUUUAAUUAAGUCUUGUCUUAGUUAUUAUCAAAAAAAAAAUAUUCACGUUUUUCCGCAUUAAGUUUACAUUUUGGUUACUAAAGUGACGCCACCGAAAUUGGGGUGUUACAAAUACUUGAAGUUGUCAUAUUUGGACAAGCUACUCAGAGUCUAAUAGUGAAUGGAACUUUGUUAUGGAUUUCGGUGAUGCAUGCUAGAGUUAGCAAGUGAAUUUUGCUCAGUUGAAUAAGAAUCCUAUGAUUAAGAUUGACUUGGGGAGUUGAAAAUCAUGUAUGAGUAAGGGAUGUAGUGGUGAUAGCAGUUACGAUAGUAGUUAAACCUCAGAAGGUUGGAGGAUCGGAUGACGAAAUGACUAGUUAAGUCCCUUGAGGUAUAGUUAUGAUUUGAUCUUCUAGAGGAUAAAUCUCGAUUUAUGCGAAGUGUUAGAGAUUUCAGUAAGUCUGAGUUGGUUUGAGUGAGGAAGGUUUUGAGGACGAAGACGAUAAUAAUGAAUUGUUAGAUAUUAAGAUGAAGGUUAGCUUAUAAGUUGUUGAUAAGUUAAUGUUAAUGGGGAUGAGUCUUGUGAUGCACAAGGUAUUAAGACUCAAGUUGAGCAUUCACUCCGGAGCAUAGAGAUGUACCGAGUUUCUAAACAACAUUUUGGACGAACAAAAGCAAAGGAAUAAGUGGUAAAGGCUGUGCGAUUGCACGAAUGCCAACAAAUAUUAUUUCCAACGGAGACCCGAUGCAAGUGGUCCAACCGGACAACAUAGAAUUGAAAGAUGAUAUGUCUGUUGAGACGCCGGCGGUCAACAUUGGGACUAGAAGAGUGAAACAAUCGAAGGGAAAGCAGAGUGCUUUAGAGAAAGUCAUUUGGAAACAAAGACACAGACGGUGCCAUAUGGGAGUUAGAGGAAAAGAUCAAGGAACACGAUCCAGAACUUUUUACUGAUCCUUAAGUUUCGAGGACGAAACUUUCUUUUUGGAGGGUACUCAUGUAAGACCCAAGUUUUUAAGCUUAUGCUAAGUGAAUAAAAUCUUAUUCACGAUUAGGGUUGAUGUAUUGUGAAGGGAAACCUGAACUAGAGUUUACCAAAUGAAAUAAAUAUAUGAAGGAGAAAGUUCAGGAAAAGUCUGAGGAUCGUACCGAAGUCGAUAAAAGUUAUAGCACGAUCGUUAUACGCUUAAACCUAGGUCAGAAACCCUAGUAAAUAGCUAGUUUUCACUUAUAGGCAUGAUGGAAGUUAAUUCCAAAAAUCCUCAGAGAAAUGUUUGAACUUCUCUUUUUCCAUAUAUCACAAUCGUUUCGAGGCGAAACUCUAGGAUCUACGAACGUCCGAUUCCAAUCAUCGGAAGUUUGCUGAAACCGAAACCCUGGUAUUUCAAAACCCUAGAAUCACCCGACAAUGAAGACUUUUUCUAUUCAGAGCUUCAAAUGAAGAUUCUACACGCGUACACCCAUUUCUCUUGAUGAUUUCAAUCUUUCUUCAGAAGGAAAUUUUCUAUUCCGACAGCCGAUGCAAAAAGCAACUUAUCGGGCAAAAUAGUUUUAUACCGAUUAUGCAUUAGUCGCCAAAAAUACAAGGAGACCUCAUUUUAGUUUUGGAAUUCUUUCGCCAAAACAUAUCUUAGAAUUCACGGAGAAUGAAGCCGGAAAAAUCAGAUUCGCGAAACUUUCAUUUUACCGCGUUUUGACAACCUCUAUAUAUAGCCAAGAAUGAGAAAAUAUCACAAAAUCUUACCCAUUUCCACCAAGAGGGCCGCGAGUUUGCAUAGGGGAGGAGGAGAAGAGAUUUUCUUCAUUUCUUGCUUGAUCGUUGAUUAAUCAAUUGCUACUUCAAGGUUUCGAGGUAUAGUCGCUAAUCCUUACCUCUGAUCGCUUUUUCCAUAGCUUUUCUCUAGACUUUUCUGAGCUGAUAGUUUAGAGGUUUUUACAAAACUAUCCUGAAUAUUUCAUUUUUGAUUCUAAACAUCUUCCUUACGUGCCCAAGAUCACUUAUGCCGGAUUAGUUUUUCCGUUAUGUCGCCGAAAUUCCGCCGGAAUCAAUUUAUGCCUCAAAUACCCAUUUUUGGAGUAAAGCAUCGUCUUUUGGGCUGAAAACUAUCGCCUUAGCUUAGUGCUAGUAGGAUUAGUUGUCAUAAACGUCGUUAGUGACGUCCCUGUCAAAUUUGCUUUUUGGGAUUUCAGUUUUGAAAUUCUAAGUUAAAAAUCAUGACCAAAAUACCCCUGCGACAGUUUUUGAUCCGAUAAUUUUUCCGAGUUCAGAAUACCCUUAGUUACGGCUAAUGAAAGCAUAGGAACCAAGUUUGAUCGAAGAAAAAUCGACCCUACAAUUACCAAAAGUGGCCGAGCCCUAUAGGGGGGAGGGGGAAAAUUUCCUUUUUCGAAAACUUGUCCUUUCGCGCUAGAUUAUCGUACCUCGGAGUAUGUACUACUUCGUGUAACCUUAGUGAUGUAUUGAUAGCUUAGUUUCUGAUAGAUUCUGAUAGUAUUUCUGUGGUUUUG